AACACGUGGGCAACCUGCCCUUGAGACGGGGAUAACUCCGGGAAACCGGAGCUAAUACCGGAUAACACAUAUCUUCGCAUGAAGAUAUGUUAGAAGGUGGCUUUUAGCUACCACUCAAGGAUGGGCCCGCGGCGCAUUAGCUAGUUGGUGAGGUAACGGCUCACCAAGGCGACGAUGCGUAGCCGACCUGAGAGGGUGAUCGGCCACACUGGGACUGAGACACGGCCCAGACUCCUACGGGAGGCAGCAGUAGGGAAUCUUCCGCAAUGGACGAAAGUCUGACGGAGCAACGCCGCGUGAGUGAUGAAGGUUUUCGGAUCGUAAAGCUCUGUUGUUAGGGAAGAACAAGUACCUGUUGAAUAAGCAGGUACCUUGACGGUACCUAACCAGAAAGCCACGGCUAACUACGUGCCAGCAGCCGCGGUAAUACGUAGGUGGCAAGCGUUGUCCGGAAUUAUUGGGCGUAAAGCGCGCGCAGGCGGUUCCUUAAGUCUGAUGUGAAAGCCCACGGCUCAACCGUGGAGGGUCAUUGGAAACUGGGGAACUUGAGUGCAGAAGAGGAGAGCGGAAUUCCACGUGUAGCGGUGAAAUGCGU
rnacentral:rRNA from 2 species